UCAGUGGGAUCUAGUGUGUGACAGAGCAUGGUUAGUAUCUUUUGCGCAACUGUUGUAUUUUAUAGGAUUUUUAAUCUCUGUUUUCAUUGGAGGUCAAUUAUCUGAUAAAUUUGGCAGGAAACCUAUGUUCUACUUGUGUUCAGCGUGGACAUUCACAUUCAGUAUGAUAAGUAUAUUUACUUCGUCUUUCUGGAUGUUUCUUGCAUGUCGAUUUUUACUUGCAUUUGGUAGGCCAACUUCGACACUAAUCGUGUAUGUACAUGUAACAGAAAUUGUUAAAAAAGAACACAGACUGAUGGUAGGAUUAAUGGGUAAACUAGGAUAUAUAAUGGGACAACUUAUUCUCCCUGGACUUGUUUGGAUUUUCAGAGAUUGGUUUUAUAUAGAAAUAAUAUGUGU